GACGAAGGGGGCUAGCGUUGUUCGGAAUUACUGGGCGUAAAGAGCGCGCAGGCGGUCGAUCAAGUCGAGUGUGAAAGCCCCCGGCUCAACUGGGGAGGGUCAUUCGAUACUGAUCGACUCGAAGGCAGGAGAGGGUAGUGGAAUUCCCGGUGUAGUGGUGAAAUGCGUAGAUAUCGGGAGGAACACCAGUGGCGAAGGCGACUACCUGGCCUGUUCUUGACGCUGAGGCGCGAAAGCUAGGGGAGCAAACGGG
rnacentral:rRNA from 1 species